ensembl:snRNA U4 U4 spliceosomal RNA
AGCUUUGUGCAGUGGCAGUAUCGUAGCCAAUGAGGUUUAUCCAAGGCAUAAUUAUUGCCAAUUGAAAACUUUUCCCAAUACCCCGCUGUGAGAACUUACAAUAUAGUCGGCACUGACAAUUUUUGACAGUCUCUAAGGAGA